AAUACAGGGAGUACAUCUUGAGUUACAAUCUUCCCAAGAUCUACCUAUCCGACCAAAGAAGCCAUCUGGAGAUGCAUCGUUUGCUGAAGAAAGGUGGGCUAAAAGAUCAGCUAACCAUGUUUUUUAAAUGUCCCACAUUAUAUGCCCAUACCAAAAACAAAAGAUGGACCUGAACAUAGUCUAGAAGAUACUGUUAAAAAGCACCGACAUUGUAACAGCAUGGAAGUUGCGAAAUCACAAUUCCACCAAAAACAAUACCAUCAAAAGUUUAGAGACACAGACAGAGAUGUGUUAUAGAAAUUAUUCCAGAAGAUCUCUGGCCAAAUCUAGUUUUUACCUAAUGAAGCCGCAGGACUGGAUGAAGGUGCAUCUUCUGCAACGAAACC